rnacentral:rRNA from 1 species
GAGUUUGAUCAUGGCUCAGAUUGAACGCUGGCGGCAUGCUUUACACAUGCAAGUCGAACGGCAGCGGGGGCUUCGGUCCGCCGGCGAGUGGCGAACGGGUGAGUAAUGCAUCGGAACGUACCCAGUCGUGGGGGAUAACGCAGCGAAAGCUGUGCUAAUACCGCAUACGUCCUGAGGGAGAAAGCGGGGGACCUUCGGGCCUCGCGCGAUUGGAGCGGCCGAUGUCGGAUUAGCUAGUUGGUGGGGUAAAGGCUCACCAAGGCGACGAUCCGUAGCUGGUCUGAGAGGAUGAUCAGCCACACUGGGACUGAGACACGGCCCAGACUCCUACGGGAGGCAGCAGUGGGGAAUUUUGGACAAUGGGGGCAACCCUGAUCCAGCCAUGCCGCGUGAGUGAAGAAGGCCUUCGGGUUGUAAAGCUCUUUCAGUCGGGAAGAAACGGAGCGCUCUAACAUAGCGCUCUACUGACGGUACCGACAGAAGAAGCACCGGCUAACUACGUG